rnacentral:lncRNA from 1 species
AGACGCUCCUGAUGAGCACUCGGCCCUCCGUGGCCGUCGGAUCGAUCGCGCUGAUCGGGCUCAGCGUCCCAACGGCCCUGAUCCUGAUCGCCUUGCGCCUGGCAGAGGCGUUGGCGUUAAUGCACGGAAAUUGAUGGUGGAUUUUCUUUCUUUUUUUUUUCUUUUUUCUUUUGUAUACAAUGAUUGGUUAUAGUUACUACAGCUUUAGUUUUUUUCGGUGUUCGUGUUUUUUUUUUUUUACCUAAUAUCAACAUUUAAUGCAAAGUCGGCGCCGUUACGUACAUUGUAAUGAUUGUGGAAAUAAUGUCGUUGCCGACUUUGGUAGCUAUAAUUAUGAGUGUGCUUUUUAAUCUUUGGUGAUUAAUUUAUUUAAUUUGGAAAAGAAAUAUGAAUAGAUGUAUCCAUUUUCACAAUGCACUCAUAUUUUUCAACAAUUCAUAUGCGAAUAUACAGCGGAUACUAAAUUUUUAUUAUUAUAUUUGCUAAAAAAAGAAUUUGAAUUCAGUUACGAAUCGAAUUUGUAUUUCGAUAUUAUUAAAAUAAUAAUAUAUAUAAAUAUGAACUAAAAUUAGAACCAAUAAAAAUAACAGUUCACACUUCUAUUCAAACUCUAUAUAUUUUUUUUAUUAAAUAAAAUAUAAUAUUUUAACAAAUAUAAAUGCAAUUUUAAUAUGAGAUUUAUAGUAAAAUAAAUAAAGAACGAUACAAAAAAAACUACUUUAUUUCUCUACAAUGCGCGAAAACCGUCGGAUACGAUUGGAUUAAUUUUUAAGAAACCAUAUCGCAUCCAUUUUUUAAAAAUUUUCUUGGGACACGAAUUCAGAUACAAGCAUGCGUCGAUUGCUAAAUAUUGACAUCCAAAUUCACAUCCUAUCGAAUUCGAUGUCGCAUCCGACUGGAGUUUAUUGGAGCCAAUUUUUCACUUUUGUUUACCUACUCUUCAAACUUGGAAUACAAUUUUGGCAUAAAUUGAAUAAGAUUGAGUAUUCUACGUUAAAGAUAUGCCUUCUUUUUUAUUGGUUUGGUCCAUACACCGUGUCUAUGGAAAAAUAAAAAGAAUCUCAUGAGGAUUUUUUUUUUUUGGUGGAUCCUAAUUUAAGUUGGAGUCCUAAUUAGACUAGGAUUGGUUUCAUACAAGACUCUAUAUUCAAUGAUCACAUUGAAUUAGAGUAGGAUUGAGCCAAAUCCCUCUCUCUAUAUAUAUAUAUAUAUGUACGGCUUGGGUUGAGGGGCGGCCAAAAUUAAUUAGAGAAACUAAUUAUAAAGGUGGCCGGUUACUGAGGGCAUGUACGGCUACGGGUAUAGAGGCAAAUUAAUUAGCAUCUGGUUGCAUAGCUAAUUAAUUAAGGUGCUCUGUCCGUACGGUAGCAAGAGAAGGGAGGUUGCUCGCAUGCGACGGAUUGAAGUCGGCGGCGGAGCGGCGGUUCUCGACCAUUUGUCUGAGCGGUUCGGAUUCUUCGAAGCAACGCCAUAAAGGAAUUUGAUUAGAGUUUCUAUUUACUUCUCUAAUUUGGUCUUCUCGGUUUUACGAAAAACUUUUUUCGAUAUUUUUUUAGAGUUUCGUUAGAACAAGAGAAAUGUGAGAUUCACCAUAAGGUUCUUGAUUUUUUUAUCCGGAGAAGACAUAAGGUGUAAGCUUGUAUUUCUAUUUCUUCAUAUAGUAAAAUACAUCUCUCUCGCUCUCCCCGUGGACGUAGGCAAUUGCCGAACCACGUAAAUCUUGAUUUCUUCUUUCUGUAUUUAUUUCUUUUACUGUUCGUUCGGUGUUUUCUCUAUUUUUCGUGCAUCUUUGUUGGUAGCGCAUGACGGACGAUCCAUCCGAUUCCCAACAUUCUAAAGGGAUGUUUACAAGCAAUUAAUUAGAGAAGAGUGUAAGAAAGGAAUAUUUAGAAGCAACAAUGCCUCGCUGGGGAGCCAAUGAUUAGCUGACACGUGUUAGUUUUUGCCUACAUCUAAUGAUUAAUUAGGUACUUUGUAAUCCUAAUAUCCAAAAAAAAAAAAAUCAAAUUCUAAAGUAAAAAAUUAUAAUCCUUGGAUAAAGAUAAAAGUGACACAUGGUGAUCCUUAACGAAGCGUCGUUGGGGAGCUCCCUAUUGAAUGUUUUUCCAUAUAAAACUAGGGCUGUUAAUGAAAAAAAUCUUAAGUGGAAAGCUCUCCGAUGAAGUCUCAUUGAAAAACCCUUGAUUCGCUGCCACGUGUCAGUGACUUUAUCCGAUGGUUAGGGUUCGAAAAUUCCUUUUUGGGUUUUAGUAUUAGAAAAUACACAAGGAAUCUUAGAUGGAGGCAAAAUUAACACGUGGCAACGAAUUGGAGGCUUCCUAGAAGUUUUAUCUCUGUCAACGAGCCGAACAAGAGCGAGCUGUGGCCAUCUUGAGAUCGGCUUCGGCUCAUUUGCUUGAUUUGUUUACUAAACCGAACUAGCUUGUUUACAAUUCGAAUGGUUUGUAACUCGAAAUUUAAAUAUCAAAUUAGUUAAUUUGAAAAAUUAUUGUUUUUUGCGUGAGAAAUUAGUGUAUUAUUAAUGUUUGGGUUAAAAGCUUAUAUAUAUAUAUGAUAUAGAACAGUAAAUCUUAUCCAUUAGAUUUCAUCAAAUGGUUGAAAUUUACAAAAUAAAUGGACCUCUUUACAUUGGGGUUGGGCGAAAUUUCAAAUAAAAGAAAUUUCUAAAUUACACGUGUGUGUAUAUAUAUAUAUAUAUAUAUAUAUAUAUAUAUAUAUAUAUAUAUAUAUAUAUAUAUAUAUAUAUAUAUAUAUAAAAUAUAAAUAUAAAGUAUACAUAUCUAAGCUACAUCAAGCUAAAUACGGGUGAGCUAAUUCCAACUCAUGUUCAGCUCAUUAAGCUAUCGGAUGGAAAUAUUCAGUUCUUGUUCGACUCAUUUAUUACACGAAUAAUUCAAACUUGAAUCCAUUUUGAGUCAAACACAAGAUUAUUAACUUCAUAUAAACUAUAGUUAGUUAAUUCGGAUUCGGCAAAAAUUCGGCACGGGUAUAAUUCGGAUAAAAUUUGUUUUUUAAUUUUUAAAUUCGUUAAAAAAUAUGGCUAAAAAACGGAUUCGGUAAUUAUUCGGAUACAUGAUUUAUACCGACGAGAGCGGCGACGACGCGACCCUCGGCCGCGAGUUCGCAACAGCGAUCGCCAGUUUUUUGGGCGAAUUAUUCGCAAAUCGCGAAUAAUUCACGAAUAAUUCGCGAAUCGCGAAUAAUUCGCGAAUAAUUCGCGAAUAAUUAUUUUUGAUGAAGAAAUCGCAUUUUUUUUCGAACUUUUCGGAAAAAUACGGAACACCCCGUUUAAUUCGUAUCUUAAAAAGUACGCGAAUAAUUCACGUAUUAAUCGCGAAUUAACUAACUAGGAUAUAAACUAAUAUAUUAAAGAUCGAAAAUGAAAAAAAAAAAAGUUCGAAUAAUUGUAACUGUCCGACCUGCUAGCAAUAACAACCUAUUAUGCCCAUACCAGCCAAAAAUGCUCAAGCUCUCAAAUGGUUCCCUUGGAAUGGUCACAAUCUGUUCCUAUCUGACGUAGGAUUAUUAAGGUGUCACAAAUUUCUCCCUGAUGUCCUCGUCAACCUAAAGAUCACCCAGCGAUGUCAGGCCCACUUCACACUUUUCGGCUGAUGAGCCAGUUUCUGACUCGCUAGCGAUAAUAAUUCUUUAGGCUCAAACCACCGGACCAAAUGAAUAAACCUAAUUAUUAAUACAGAGGGUCCAAGAUUUCUUAUAUUGUCCAUCAAAAUUUUAUUUUCCAUUUGAUGUGGGGACUAUUGCGGUGAUGUUGAAGUUUAAGUUAUUAAGUAUAUUGCCAUGCAACAACUUGUUCAGCUAAGUAAAUUAAUUUCACACCAUAUCUUUAUGCAUUUUACUGUAGAGUUUUUGCUGAUCCAUUGCACUUGAUGAAUUUAGACUAUGUACAAAGAAGAUGAGCAAUUAAAAGUGAAGAUUAAUUUAGAGUAUUUGAUAAGGCAAUAAAUUGUUCAAAUUACUGACCGUCUCUAGAGCAAGUGACAAAGGACUUGGUGGUUGGUAUCCGAGACCCAAGUUCGAAUCCUAGUUGAUUCACAUUUACAGCGAAGUUUAUUUCUAAAUGAAAUAAACGAAGCGGGUAGCAUGCUACCUAUCUCUCGAAAAAAUAAAUUGUUCAAAUUUUAUGUCCCACUCAAAUUUUUGUUUAUAAAUAUCAUAUUUAACAAAUAAAUUCUAUCAUUAAACGAAUCGACUACAAUUUCGUCGCUUCAUCUAUUGCAUCUCUUUCGAUUUCGGCAUCUGAAUUCUGAAAAGUUAAAGCAUCAGCUAUUGCGAUAAUCAUUUUCAUCGAAUCGAUUUUAUUUGUUUUAGAAAUGAAAUUAAUGAAUACUGUAGGCCUGAGCCCAGUUUGAAACGCGUCCGGGUCCGGGUCGGGCCGAAUCGAAGGAGAGAAUUGUCGCCCGGGCCGGGUUGUGACGACAAGUGAAAAACCCGAGCCCAGUUCAGAUUUUCUUAGGCCUCAAAUAUUGAGACCCGGCCCGAUCAUCAACCGGGACGGGUUUAAUAAGAUUAAAAAAAAAAGAAAAAUUCAAAUACCACCUUUGUGGUUUCAUUUUUUUUUAUUUUAGUAGCUCGUGGCUUAAAGUAUAUCAAUUUAGCACCCCGUAGAUUUAUUUUUCUCUUUUUAUUAUUCUUUCCACUAAUUUUUUUUCGUUAAAUCAGUGACAAAGUUAAAACUAAAAGGUACUAAAAUAAAAAUACGAUAAACUUAGAUGGGGUAUCCGAAGUUUUUUGUAUAUAAUUUAACGUAAUGUUAACAAAGGAGCUGACGAAAGGAAAAAAAUGAAACUAUGGGAACUAAAUUGAUACACUUUAAACUACAGGGUAUUGAAGUGAAAAAGUGCGAAACCAAUAUUUGAAGUUUUUAGUAUCUUUACCAAAUACAAAUGUAAAUUUGGUUUGUUUAAUAUGGUGGGGAGUACGAAUAUCAUGUUGCAUAUAUAUCCAUAUUUAUUUAAAUUUAAAUGUAUAUAAUUUAUUAGGAAUAUAAAUGUACUAAGAUUAAUAUAUUUGUAAACACAAAUCUUAUUACUAUUUAUUCCUUAAUAAUAAGGUUAAAUUAUGCUCUUGGUGUUCAAUUUAUUUGUGUGGGUGUUAUUUUAGUUCUCAAACAUUAUUAUUACCAUUAUUUAAAAUUUUAAUUCAAAUUAAAUUGAUUCGAGAUGAUGUCAUAUUAAUGUCGCAGUAACUUAAUACGACACCAUAUAUAAUUUUGGUUGGAUAAAUAAAAAAAAUAAUUAUUUAGAACUCUCUUCUUCUUCUUUUUUUUUUUUUAUACGCGGGUCUUUAUUUUACAUUUUAAAUAAUAUCAAAAGAGUUAUUGUAGUAUCCUUGAUUUUUGAGUUGCUUGUGGAUCUCAGCAUCUGAGGCUUGGUGACACAUCUGGAGAGUGUCGGGACAAGUCGGAAUCGUUUUGACGCAAAAUGGACACAAACAGACUCGACGUGAGGCGAGAGUGGAGUUCUGACACUGAAAUCCGCAAAGUGCAGGAUUUCAGUGUUGAGUACCAGCACGGCAUUGGACUGGAACCGGUACCCUAUGUGCGAGCUUGCGAGCUAAGAGGCCGAGUACCGGUAACCAAAUCGGGUACCGGUACUCCAGUUGUCAUGUUGAGUUAGUAGGGGUAUUAUGGUCUUUUUGUGUUGGUGUUUAUCCACACCACCAACUCUCCCUCGUAUUUAUCCACCUGAGGAAUAGUAGCUUGCUUAAUUAAGUUCCUCUCUCUCUCAAGUGUUAAUUGUGUGCUUGGUGGAGGCCACGGCUUGAGCUCGGAUCGACGUUGACGUUGCGCCGGAAAGCCGUUCGAGCGUAUGGACGUCGCGGUUGCGUCGUUGGAGGCCGGGCGAGCGCGUGAUUUCCUCUCCUUUCGACUUCUCGCCGUGGUUGGAUUAGCGUUUCGAGAUGGAUUGAAGUUUACCGAAAUCGCCGGAACAUCUCCUAAGUUUUUAUAUCGUCAACAUAUAUCAUGUGUUUAAUUUCUUGCUAGUAUUCAAAUUCAUGUAUUAGGCUUAAAAUCUGAAUUUGGAGUUAAGUAGUAGUAGUAUAAUUUUAUAUGUUGGACUUGAAAUUGACUUAGGAGAAAACUGUAGAUCCUACACUGUCAGUUUCUGAAAACUAUUAGAUUUAGUUUUAGAAGCUGUGGUUUAUUUGUAUUGCCGCAGUUUGUAUGCGGUAGAUACCUAGAUUAGUGUAGGAUCAGUUUACGCUCGUGUUGGGAUGUCGAGUUUAUUUUACAGUAGCGUGUAGACUGUUUCGGGUUGUCGGGUGCCAUCGCAGUUGACGGUGGAUCCAGAUUUCUGUAUUUGCAUCAGAUUGUGCCAAGGGCAAGUGAGCUUUGGUUGUUAGACCCAUAUGCUUUGAUUACAGCCUGUGAGAGCCUGAUUGAGCUCGGCAGAGACACGCUUGUAUACUCGGUUGGGUAGCACAGACGAGUGCCACUCCGGAGUUGGGUUUUGUGUUUUUGCGUUGUUUCGCAGCAGUCCUAUUUGGACAGUGCUUUAGGACCGGCCACCUCAAUGGUGGUGUGCGGUAUAGCUCGGACGCAGGCGGGACGGGCCUGUUGGCAGUCCCGUGAUAGUAUAGUCGUUGUUGUAGCAGAUGCAUAUCUACAGAUAGCUAGAGUUGGCUAGUGAUAGUAUAGGGACAUAUAGCUGUAGGGUUUCCAGCUUUCUUUACUAUCUCUUGCAUACGAUUCUGUAAACUUAGUGGGUGAGCCGUUGAGGUCGGUAAAGGUACCCACUGAGGACUAUUUCUUUUUGCAGUAGUUCUCACACCCCGUUGUUGAUCCCUUUUUGCAGAGCUUUUUUCUGCGGCUGCUGCUGUCGCUGAUACUGAUCGUGGAAAGGGAGUCGCGAGUUAGAUCCCUUCCCUGGUUGCAGUUCUAGAGAAGUACAAACUACAGGUAGUUUUGGAUUUUUGGUUCAUGUACAUACUUUUGCUGGUACUCACUGGGGCGAGUGAUGUUUGUAUCUUGGAGACUUUGUAUGUAUAGUGAACCUGAUAUUUAUUUAUAUUCAGUUCUGUUAGCAGCCCUAUACUACUGGUUGUAGUUUUGUAUAAUUACAGGUAUAGCUAUCGCUUCGUAUACAUAAAAAAUUCUUUUGUAUACGGCGGGUCUGUUAGCGUGCCCAGAAAAACGCGGUAAUCCGGGUCGUGAUAGUUAUAUUACGGUUUAAACCUCUUUUUAUUUAAAUUUUUGUUUACAAUUCCCAGACAAUGUAGUGCACCUGGUUCAAGCAAAAGAUUUUUCUUAAAAUUUUAAAUUAAAUUUAAAUUUAAAUUUAAAUUUUAAAUUUUCAAUUGUAAACUCUUUUAUCUUCCAUAAUAUUUCUUACAAUCUAAGGCCCAGUUUCCAAGUUGUUCAUAAUAUUGAAACUGUGACACCCAAAAUUUGGAAUAGAUAUAUAUAAAGUAUAAUAGGACUAAAAUCUUCUAAUCGGAGUAUAUCAUUUUGGGUGGUAGCUAGGCUUUGGAGGUUAACGGGGUUAAGAGUGCUGGGGCUAAAAUGGCGGAGCGUUAUAGUUGGUAUUAGAGCUAAUUAAUCACCGGCCGAAAGCAUGAAUAAGUCUCGACUGAUUCAGGAUCUAAAACAACCUAAGUUAGAGAGUUUUGAAAUGAUAGAUUAAGACAUGAUAUGAAUGACAAGGCUAGCGAAACGAGUCUUCCAUCACCUAACACUCGUGCAUGUGGUUUGAGAUUGACGCGAACUUCAGAGCUUAAAAGGAGAAAGAAAUGUGACACUCCAAAAUUUGAAUUUGUCCUAUUUAUAAGGUAUAAUAGGAUUAAAAUCUUCUAAUUCGACUAUAGUAUUUUUUUGUUGUAACUAUAAAGCCAUACUUGGAUCAAGAGAUAAAGAAAAAAUAAGAAAUUUAUUCCCCUUAUUCUUUCAAACGGUACUAAAAAUUACAAAGAAUUACUAUUCUUCUCUUAAUGAAUUAUUCCAUAAUACCCAUUAAGAGGGGAGAAUAGUAGUUCCACUUAUUGGAUAGAACAAGCUAUUUUCUAUCUUAUUCAUCAACUAAUUAAGUUAUAAAUAAUUAUAAGUUAUAAUUAAUUAAUUCAAUAACAUUUUUUAAUAAUUAACUAUUUAACUAUUUAACUUAUUAAAUUAAUAAAUAUUUAAAUAAUAAUUUAUUUAUAAUUUAUAAUUAAUUAUCUAAUUAAAUAGUUAGCUAUUUGAUAUGCUUAUUCAAACAUUAAUUAAUAUUUAUAUUAUUUAAAUAAUUAAUAUUUUAAUUUAUCUAAUUAAUAUAUUAACUAAAAAUACAAUUAAUUAUUUAUUAUUAAAUUAAUAAAUAUUUAAAUAAUAAUUUAUUUAUAAUUUAUAAUUAAUUAUCUAAUUAAAUAUUUAGCUAUUUGAUAUGCUUAUUCAAUCAUUAACUAAUAUUUGUAUUAUCUAAAUAAUUAACAUUUUAAUUUAUCUAAUUAAUAUAUUAACUAAAAAUAUAAAUAAUUAAAUAAUAAUUAAUAUUAACAUAUUGAGUUAUUUUUUAUAGUUAUGUACUAAUUAAUGUCAUCUUCAGCAUCUCAUAUAGUAAUUUUAAUUAAUUUAUUCAUUAACUUGUUAAAAUAUUAUUUUACUAAUACUUAGAUACUUAUUAUUUUGAUAAAUUAUUUUUAUUUUUAAUUAUAAUUAUUCUUAUUCUUACUAUUCCAACCCAAUUAAUCACCCAAAUGUAAUUUUUCUUAUAUCUCUAAAUAUUUCGAUUCUCGUCCAAAUACAAAAUUGAGCUAAUUUCUGCCUAUCUCAGUUAUACCUAUUUGGCUAUUUCAAGAAUAAAAAAAAAAAACUUCAAAUACCACCCUUGUGGUUUCACACUUUCUUAUUUUAGUAUCCUGUGGUUUAAAGUGUAUCAAUUUUGGUACCCUGUGGUUUUAUUUUUUUCUUUUUAUCAUUCAUUCCACUAAUUUUUUUUCGUUAAAUCAAUAACAAAGUUAAAACUAAAGGAUACUAAAGUGAAUAUUCGAUAAACCUAGAUGGGUGUAUCUGAAGUUUUUUAUAUAUAAUUUAAUGAAAAAUUAACGGAGAAGCUGACGAAAAGAGAAAAAUGAAUCCACAGGAUAUUAACUUGAUACACUUUAAACCACAUGAUACUAAAGUAAGAAAGUGCGAAACCACUGGAGUGGUAUUUGAAGUUUACCCUAAAUAAAAAUAGCAUGUUCUCGAACCAAACAGUAUCUAAAGGAUUUAAAGAGAUUUUGGCUUUAUUUGCAUCUCUUGAAUAUUCCUGGGACAUGAAAAACAUGGCCAGUAAAAUUAAAAAGGAAAAAAAAGAAAAAAAAAAAAGGAACAUGAAGCGAUUCCUUCUAACCUUUUUUUUUGUUUUGUUUUUUUUAAGGUAGAGAUUCCUUUUGUUCUUAACAAUAACUAGUGAAGGCCCGCGCUUCGCGGCGGAAAAUUUACGUAAUUUACCAAAUAUUUUGAACAAACUUGUUUAAUUUUUUUAUUUUAAGAUCUAAAUUAAAAUUGUAAACAUAACACAUUAAUAGAAUCAAAUGAUAAUUCUUUUGAGUUGUCUUCUUUACCUGAGUUGUUUAAAAUUCGAAACGCAGAGAGCCCGGCCGUACCGG